GACGAACGCUGGCGGCGUGCUUAACACAUGCAAGUCGAACGGAAAGGCCUCUUUCGGGGGGUACUCGAGUGGCGAACGGGUGAGUAAUACGUGAGUAACCUGCCCUUGACUUUGGGAUAACUUCAGGAAACUGGGGCUAAUACCGGAUAGGAGCUCCUGCUGCAUGGUGGGGGUUGGAAAGUUUCGGCGGUUGGGGAUGGACUCGCGGCUUAUCAGCUUGUUGGUGGGGUAGUGGCUUACCAAGGCUUUGACGGGUAGCCGGCCUGAGAGGGUGACCGGCCACAUCGGGACUGAGAUACGGCCCAGACUCCUACGGGAGGCAGCAGUGGGGAAUAUUGCACAAUGGGUGGAAGCCUGAUGCAGCAACGCCGUGUGCGGGAUGACGGCCUUCGGGUUGUAAACCGCUUUCGCUCAUGACGAAGCUUUGUGUGACGGUAGUGGGUAAAGAAGCACCGGCUAACUACGUG
rnacentral:rRNA from 1 species